rnacentral:rRNA from 1 species
ACGGAAGGCAGCAGUGGGGAAUAUUGGGCAAUGGGCGAAAGCCUGACCCAGCAAUGCCGCGUGAAGGAAGAAGGUCUUCGGAUUGUAAACUUCUUUUAUGAGGGACGAAGGAAUUGACGGUACCUCAUGAAUAAGCCACGGCUAACUACGUGCCAGCAGCCGCGGUAAUACGUAGGUGGCAAGCGUUAUCCGGAUUUACUGGGUGUAAAGGGCGCGUAGGCGGGGAAGCAAGUCAGAUGUGAAAUCCCGGGGCUCAACCCCGGAACUGCAUUUGAAACUGUAGCCCUUGAGUAUCGGAGAGGCAAGCGGAAUUCCUAGUGUAGCGGUGAAAUGCGUAGAUAUUAGGAGGAACACCAGUGGCGAAGGCGGCUUGCUGGACGACAACUGACGCUGAGGCGCGAAAGCGUGGGGAGCAAACAGGAUUAGAUACCCUGGUA